AUUAUCCAAUAAACAAACGAACCUUUCUUUUCCAACUGCAUGCAUAUGCUAUCCUUUCUACACUUGAUGACAUAUAUACUGUACGAAAUUUAAUAGAUUCGAUGAUAGUAGCAAUGUACGACUUUUGGACCUCAAAGUUUGGCCUGCUAGAAGACCAAUGGCCAAUUUAAUUGGGUUCAUGCAUGCAUGGUGGAAUCUCUAAGUAUGUUUUAUUCUUUUUGUGACAGUUCCCUACAAUUAAUAUUUUUUAUAUUUAGUUCGUAUUUUUUAUUUUUUAUUAUGUGGGUACUGGUUCUUGCUUCGUAUAUGUGGUACUGGUUCAUCGUCAAAGCUUCACCCACAUAGGACAGUUCCCUACAAUUAUAAUAGCUAGGGUUACAAAAAUACGAAGAUUCCGAAUCGGGCAUAAAAAAAUAUGAUAUUAACUAAGCAAGAACCAUCAAAGCUUCACCCAAAUAUACUUGAAAAACUUAUCACCCACAUAAGACGAAUUAUAUGAACAUUAGUUUUUGAUCACUAGUUUGAUCGCAACUACUAACCGAAUCAUUUUUAAAAUAAAUUGUGUUUUGAACUAUUAGUAUAAAGUACGUUAUAGGAUAAGAUAUAUGGAAAUCAUUAGAUCAGUGUACAUAUAUAUUCUUUCUUGUGGGGUAUAUAUGAUCUAAUUAAUAAAGUAUAAAAUUGAAAAUGAUGUCAACUUUCUAUACUAAUUAACAAGAUCGAUCAAGAUUUAUUAGAAAUUAAAAGUUAGUAUUCUGUCAUGUAAUUUGAAUAUGUCAUGAGCAGUCUUUUAUAGGAUAUGUGCUAUUAUAUUUUAGUUUACAUGUAUGCCACGCUAUAUAUAUAAACCAAGUAAAUUAAGUUGAUAUAAGAUGUCCUUUAAAAAAGUAUAAGUUAAACUUAAUCAAUGGCGAUGAUAAUAAUAAAGAUCGCGAGGACGGAUCGUGGCAUCACAUAUUACCAUGGCACGAAUCGUCCGUACGUUGCGUGGUUGCAAGUUGCAACUCAAUUUGCAUACAGUUAUCGAUUUUUAAAAGGGAGAUGCCAAGAAUAAGUUAACCGGAACAAUAAAUUUAUAUUUACAUGUAUUCCGGUAUUGAUCCAUUUAUCUAUCUAUAUUGUUACGUGGAGCGAUGAGAUUGAAAAGAUGAGUUUGGCGUCAGCUCGAAAAAUGAUCAAACCAGCGACAACAAAACGCGUAUUCUCUCGCGAAGGAUCCGAAUCAUGUUCUACAAUUUUUAUUUCUUGCACCAAAUUUUAAAAUUUCGAUUUUUCAAAAAAAUAAAAUCCAUUUUCGAAAAAAAGGAAUUUCCCUUUUGUGGAACAAAUUCACCUUUAAAGAUAUAAACAUGCAGAUUCGUAUGCAUCGAAAAUAUACAUGAAACUUAUAUUGUUGGCUAUAUAGUAAUCUCAAAGGGCAACACGAGUAUUUAUAAUGUUAUAGAUAGGUCUAUUUAUUUAUGAUUGUAUGGUCUUAUCCCCUUGAUUUCCAAAUAUUUAGCUAAAGAAAAGAAACUAUAGUUGGUAAUAGCUUGGUAGAUAACCCUUUAUACGAGUUAUGCAGAAUGCGGACAUUUUGUUACGUUGUUUAUAACAAUACAAUUAUGUUAAAUAAAUGAAAAUAAGGCAGAUAGUAUAGUCGGUUGUCGUAUUAUCUAUUUAAUAUUUUUUAUAAUUAUAAUAUCAUAAUAAAUCAACUUUAAAAAGGAUGAAAAUAUGAUAAUUAUACUAUUAUAGUGUUAACCAUUGCAAACUAUUAUUAGCACCUAAUUUCACAGUUUUUUUUUGUUUAUGCAAAGUUCACAGAUUUCAUUGAUCCACAAACAAAGAUUUAACUACUUUUAGGGUUUUACCUUUAUAUAGUUGCUGUUAAUGUUCGAUGAGUGUUUUAAAUUAGUAAAAGAAUAAAUGAUCAAUGAGCAGGGCCGUCUAAUAACACGUGCAAGUGGAACGGUCGAAUAUGAUCUGAGUAUAAAAAUAUAAAAAAUUAAAGAAAUUUUAACAAUAUGUAUAUAAAUUACCGUCACAAAAUUAUCAAUUUAGAGUUUAUAAUUUAUAAAAAAACGUUAAACAUAUAUAGAUAAAACUACUAAUUUCUAAAGCUAUUUAAUUGUUUUCAAAUUUAUCGUUAAUAUUUCUGAACAUGAUCCCAAAAAAAUUUGAGACGGCCCUGUCGAUGAGUGUACAUAUCUUCCGGAGGUCUAAGAGAGACUACGCGCCAAUUGCAUCUCCAAGGUAUUUUCUAAGAGUUGAGGCACAAAGGGCCUCCCAAACAUGGCCAUGUUGACAAAAACACCACCAUGUUCGUAGGUUAGUUAACUCUUAACUGUUUUCAAAGAGCCCAAAACUCAUUAGUUCCACCGAUAUGACAUAUACAUCUAUAUUUGUCUUUUAAAUUUAUUUUGCAUAACCGGGGCUUAAUUAAACUAAACCCCAUGAAGCAGAACUAUCAAUUGUUAAUAUUGGCCAAGGUGUAGUGUAGAUUAUUUUACCUCAACUAUCAAUACCAUAUAUUAGAUCGUUAUCAAAUGUAUAAUUGUCAUCAUUCUUAUUUGUAUGUAUAUAUAUAUAUAUAUAUAUAUGUGUGUGUGGUUUGACACUGCAUUGUCAUGAACAAUGGAAUCAUUAAAUUUUUUUAAAAAAUCAUUAAAUUAAGCGAACCCUCUAGACCAUUAGUCCAAUAAUAGUCCUGAUUACGUGUAACGUAACUUAACGCAUGAAUUAAUUUGGUCCAGUUUCCUUUUAUUUAAUUUUUGUCCGACCAUGCUCUUACAAGAAAAAGGGAUCAUUGUUUUCUGAUUUAAUUUGUUUUUUUUUUGCGCUAAUCAAAACAAAUUAUAAAUAUAUACUUCAUUUCCGUAAAACUAAAAAUAGUAAAGUUAAGUUAAGCAAAAAUCAUACAAGUCCAACCACCGGAUCUGUUAUAUAUUCAAUUGAAAAUUAGGAGGUGCUAAUGUCUGUAAAAUUUAAGAACACGUUAAAGGAGUUUGGUCAACAAUGAUUGACUACACUUGAUAAUGACACGUGUCGUAUGAUGAGAGGAUCGACGGUGGUCAGCUUAGAAAGGAGCCGUCCUCUUUGAUCACGUAACAACAAGUCCAUUAUGUUUUUCCGACAAUGGAGGCAAUUAUCCACAACGCUCAUGUGCAUUGUCUGUUAUGAAACUCCUCCUAGCUGUUACACUGCCACGCGUCGUCAUAUGCCAGAUAUUAAAUCAAAUCAAUACAAUAUUAAAAGGAGAAUACUCUCAAAUUCUAAGCUGUCCACGUCCUCUUAAAAAAUCAUCCAAUCAGAAGGCUUCAUUUUACACGUCAUCGUCGAACGUCGAAACUGGUUUCAUUUUGGGUUUUUUUUUUAACAACUUAAACAGCCCAUUAAGCCCAAAAUGCCUCAAGAGUCUGAAGCAUAAUUUUUUUUGUUCUUCUCAGAUGAUCUCACAUCAUCGUCACCGAUCAAAUUCUACACUCAUCCGUUACAGUAACCUAAGCAUCAUCAAUCUAUUAUCCUCUUGAAAGUACCUUAAAUGGGUUUGUUCCAUCUCCCCUUAUAUCUCUUUCUAUAUAAAGUGUUGUGUCUGAUCUUCAAUCAACCCUAAUUGAAAAAUAUAUACUGAAAAAGCUACAGCAACUGCCAUGAAAUCCACCGGUAAAUCUCCCUCACCACCAGAAUGUCUUCAGUCGCCACCGGGACCGCCGAAUCUGGACUCAGUUUUCGGUUAAUCAAUUUUUAAGAGCUUCAGGGUGUGGAUGAUGCCAUUGACAAGAGCAUGAAAGUGUUGACCACUAUGUCAAGAAGAAUGACGAGGAGCAAAUGGAUCGUUGGUUCAGGGAUCUUGGCUCUCAUUCUCACGAUCAUCUUUGAUCAUCUCAUACAAGGUUUCUCAUUACAGUACUCAAAACACAUAAAUUCAUCGUGGCUGUGUUUAUAUAUGGUACAUGUUCUUUUCAUUGACGCGCGAUCCGCGGCUGCGACACAAAUUCUAAAGGGAAAGAGGCUAGAAUAACUACUAUGUGCUUGGUUCUUUGAGCCUUUCCUUCAUUCGUAGGUGUUGACUACGAUAAAUCCUUUUUGUUUUUCUGUGUUUGAUUAAUAACCAUCUCAAGCUUUUUGAAGAUAUCCAAAGGAAUCAGAGAAAAUCAUUGUAGCGUAGCAGACAUGAAUGUCCUAAACAAGGUAAACAGGCUAGAUGAUACUUUUGUUGUUGGCUCAAUCUUUGGUCUUCCUUUGAUUUUAAUGGUUCUCUGGUCUUGACAAACUUUCGGUUGUGAAUUGGUCUAUAAAUGCGAGAGUUCGGCUAUGGAAACAAUGAUCAUACAGAUGUAUAAAGAAAAGUUUGGUGAUUCAUCAGAGCUUACACAAAUACCAGCAUAUCUUCAACGCCUAAGAGCUGCUCAUCAAAACAUAUUGAUAGCCCAAGCAAUCCAGCCGUCGGAUAGCAACAAAUUAAGAUGAGUUGGUCGCGAUUCAAGUGUUUUGGUGGUAGGAAGAAAUUAAAGUUCGGGUAGUUCCAUGCAAGUCUGGAACAGAGUUCUUUUGGCGGAGCGUACAUUUGUAUAAAGAAUGUUUGUGAAAUCGCCAAUGAUAUACGAGAGACGAAGCAAGCGACAUCUAAGAUGAGAAGGAGAUAAGAGUGUGAACCAUUGCUGAUGAGUUCUGAUCUGGUGUUUGAUAAGACAAUGGACCUGUAACGUUUGUCUAUAUAGACGGUAGGAGUCAAGACCUUAUAAGCUAUGGAGUUUGAUACAGUGCAACGAUGAAGGAAUAAGGAAAACGGGCGUAAUGAUUGUGCCAUAUGUUGAGUUGACUGCUUAGAUAAAAAAAGUCACCUUAACGAUGUGAAGUAGUGUUUUACUGUGAAACAGUGUGUGUGGGUAGAGCAUGUGGACAGUCGUGUUCUGUCGUCUCUGAUAUUAGUAAGCAUCCUUCCAAUUAUAUUCCUUUGAUAUGUACAGCACACCAUUUCAGCGAUCUCUUUAACAUGUUUUCCACCGUUGUAGGGAUAAUCCAAAAUGUUCAUUUUAUCCAGUUACGGGACUAUUAUGAUCUUUUGUUCGUAACAAUAAACUGCAUUAUAAUGUAAAAAAAAAACAAUAAACUGCAUUAUCAUGAUGACAUUCAUAAAACUAUUAAAAAAGAGUUACAACAUUUGUUUUGACAUUAGUUGCCAUCAAAAACUUUGUUAACGUUCUAAAUGUAGUCUUCUAAACGUUGGAAUCUAAUGUCAAUAUAGAUAUAUUAAUUAAUCUAUACAGAAACUAAAACUACACUUCAAAUAUAAAAAGUAAAGAAAACAAGUCAAAUAACAAUACAAAAAUGUACAAAAGCUAUAAUAUAUGCAGAAAAAAACUCUACUAUAAUUAACAUAAUAUUAUUAGCUUAAUAUAUUAUUAUUAUUAUUAUUAUUAUUAUUAUUAUUAUUACCUCUAGAAUCAUUUAUAAGUUUUUUAGGAACUAAAAUAUUGGAACAUAUACAUUAGAAAGUGAUUCUUAAAAAAUGGCUUGAUCACAUUUAGAGUUUGAUAUUUUAAAUUGACUUAUUAGAGGUACAAUACUUUCGGAUGAAAUGGAAAGCAACAUGUGAGAGAACAACAAAAAAGAUACCUAUCAAUUUACGAUUACAUUGAAUUCAAAAACCACAUGAAACUUACAAACAUUAUCAACGACCAUUAGUCGUAUGUGGGUAAUCAAAAUCAUACAAAACAAAUUCAGUUUAGUCUUAGUUCUGAUAUCCAAUAAAGUCAGAAAAUGAUUUAGUUAUUCAAAAAAAAAUGAUUUAGUUAUUUUUUUUUUGUCCCAACAAUACAAGAUAACCAAAUACAUUUUGAGAACGAUAAAACUAAUAGAAGGUAUGCUAAAUAUAUCUCGCGUAGAUUUACAUAAAAUCAUCUUAAAGGAGGAAAACCUUCACAUAUUUGAUACUAUUUCUAAACACAACUUAAAAAUUGCUAAAAAAACCUUUACUGAAAAUAACAAUUACCCGUAAGCUCACAAACACAACUUAGAAGUUGCAAAAAAAAACACAUAUUCUAAUAGAUCAAAUUAAAUACUAUAAACCAACUUGAUAUACUUUUUAACACAAGAAAAUUGAGUUACAUUAAAAAUACAAUAAAAUACAACACAUAAAUAAUUGAAACAACAUUCCGCCCCGUAGGGCGGGCAUACCACUAGUUAAUUUAUAAUUUGGAAAUACAAGUUCAAUUUUAAUACACUGUGUUCAAAGAUAGAUGAUUUAACGUUUUUAAAAACUUUCAGUUUAUGUGUUAUAAAGUAAAUAUUUUCAGAAAAAAACUGAGAUUUUCUUGUUAAAAUAGUUUAUUAUUAUAAAUCAGUGGUGUAAGGAUAAGAAACGGUCUUCGAAAGUGACAAAUUUGUUAGUUUAAAUUUUAUGUUGAUGACUCGGUGUGUUUUUGCUUCAAAGUCUGAUUUGCUAGAUUCGAGCACUACCACAAAUAUACGUUGGACGUUAAUUUCUAAAUUAAACUAAUUUACUAUUAACUGAUAUGAAAUCUUACCAAACGGUUAACAAAUAAGCUGGAGGAAUAAAUGUAGGAACUCUAAAUGUAGCCAUUUUCUUCUUCUGAUUGUGACUCUCUAAGUCAGCUUGGUUGAUGUUUCUUUUAAGCCAGCAUUUAAAAUUGAAACUUUUCCUUGUCCAGAAAACCUACUUUGUAAUUUUAAUAAAAAUAAUAGAAGACAUAAUCUAUUCUUUUAAAACUAAAAUACAAAAUAAAAUUUAUCUAUUUUUAAGUGGGGUUUUAUAGAUUGUCAUUCUCAUUUUAACAAUUCUAGCUAGUUCAUUUAUUAUUUUUAUUUAGAGUCAAAAUUAUUAUAAAUAAUUAUUUACAUUCAUUUUUUACUCUGAAAAAUUACUUCAUUAACUAUAUUUACCAUAAUAAUUCAAUUUUAUUUAUUUUACAUACUAAACAUUAUAAUUUCAUAUGUCAUUUCAAUUAAAUUGCUCUAUUAGUGAAAAAAUUUAAACCAAUUAACAAAAAUGUUUUUAUUUGUUUGCAUAUCAGUUAGAUAUGGUAUUCAUGUAUAUGUUUAGAUUUAAAUCGGUUUUUAUAGGUAUCAGUUUUUUAGAUUUUAAAACUAAACUAUUGUUAUAAAUUUUCAUACAUAGUUCAAGUUAGAUUCUUCCGAGUCCGGAUAAGUUUUUACAAAUCUAAAAAUAUCUUAAUUAUCUACAUGUUCAUAAGUGUUCAAAUAUAUAUAUAUUAAAAUCUAACACUACUAAAAGCAGAAUACCAAGCCUUCUAACCCUGUCCACGUCAGUUAAUAUAUUCAGCUAAUCAGAGAUCACUAUUUUGCCAUGUCAUACCAGUUUUAAAUCGACCAAUACAAAAACCAGGCCAUGCAUCUGGGCCAUUAGUAAUAUCCAGUGGUCAAUACGAAGCCCAUCUCAUUAAUACAUAAUCUCUAAUGAGGGCUAUUAUCGUGGCGACUCUUCAACCCACUCUCCCUCAUUCAAUCAUGUUCUUUACUACUCUUUUCACGUUUCAGCUCCCUUUGUUUAUAAAUCAUUAAAUAUCAAAAUUUUGAUCCAGGCUGAUAAUCAUUGAAUACCUUGACCAUAUUGACAGACAUGCGUUUGAAGAUCUUCACAACCACAUCAAGAGCUCGGCGGUGAUCGUGACGGAGCCCGAUUUCAACGCCAAGAUCUGCCACUUCGGCACCGCGAAGCUCUGCGGGGAAACAGACGGAUCGAGAGAUUCCAGAGCCGUUAGAUUCGAAGGAGUGAUAGGAUACAUGUCGCCGGAGUUUCAGGCUUCGGGGGUUGCGACUCAGGAAUCAGACGUGUUCGCCUUCGGAGUCAUGAUGCUUGAGCUUCUCUCCGGGGAGGAGCCGUUGAAGUACAGGUAUGAGAAAUCGAUAGGGGAUUUUGAACGGACUUCGGUGAUUGAAACGGCGAAAGCGGUGGUUGACGGCGGAGAUGGUGGUGAUUUAGAGGGGCGGUUGAGGAGGUGGAUGGAUCGGAGGUUGGGGGAUUCAUUUCCGGUGAAGGUGGUGGAGAAGUUAAUGCGGUUGGCGUUGGAGUGCGUGGAGGAUGAGGCGGUGAACCGGCCGGAGAUGGGAAGAGUCGCCGGAAAGAUAUCGCAAUUGUAUUUGGAAUCGGAGAAAUGGAUCUUCCAACCAAGAUUAGAAGCGAGAUCCAGAGCGGCAGACAUGGACAUGAAAAAUAUGUAUGGAGGAAUUUUUGUAUUCCUGCCUUUCUCAGAAGAUUAGUUCCCUAGAGCCUUUCUGAAAUGAGUGCUACGGUAUUGCCACAUCGUUUCAGCUCUACGGGAAGCCAUACAAUAAAAAACGUUUUCCUGGUGAGCAAGAGAUCAUACCACAAUUACCUUGAUGUUGACUCUGCUUGGAACUGUGUAUCAGAUUCUGAAAACCCGACAUGUGCAGUCAUGAAGCACACAAAUCUUUAUGGUGAGGCCUACCGGCUAGCUGUAAUUGAUGAUCCAUGUAGCACCUUUGGUGGUAUUGUAGUCGUUUGAUUGGUUUGGAGCUGCUUAUGAUUCAGUUAAAAUUUCAUUUUGUAUUGGGGUCAAAAAAAUUUAGUAUGGUUAAAUUUCAUUUUCAAGUAAAGAAAAUUUAUUUUACAAUUUUUUUUAACAAAAAAUGAAUAUUUAAAAAAAGAAGGGGGUCAGCUGCCUCCACCUCUUCCACACUGCCUCCGCCCCUGGGUGCAACGUUGCUUAAGAUACAUCCACUACUUCAGCUCAGGAAACCGAUGGGCUGCAUCUACUGAAGGACCUGAGAAGGAGAUCAGAUUUUGGGAAAAAUUGACAGUGAGAUGAGACCAUGAUUAAGAUGGGAACAAAUACGAAACUAGAAUGGACCGGUGAAUUUUUGAAAUAUUUUGAAGUAAGCCCACACGUUAUAAAGAAGUGUUAGUUUUUUUUCCACAAGAAAGAUGCUUGAUUUA